AUUGAACGCUGGCGGCAUGCCUUACACAUGCAAGUCGAACGGCAGCACGGGAGCAAUCCUGGUGGCGAGUGGCGAACGGGUGAGUAAUACAUCGGAACGUGUCCAGUUGUGGGGGAUAGCCCGGCGAAAGCCGGAUUAAUACCGCAUACGACCUACGGGUGGAAAGCGGGGGAGUCGCAAGACCUCGCGCUAUUGGGGCGGCCGAUGUCAGAUUAGCUUGUUGGUUGGGGAAAAGCCUACCAAGGCGACGAUCUGUAGCUGGUCUGAGAGGACGACCAGCCACACUGGGACUGAGAAACGGCCCAGACUCCUACGGGAGGCAGCAGUGGGGAAUUUUGGACAAUGGGCGCAAGCCUGAUCCAGCCAUGCCGCGUGCGGGAAGAAGGCCU
rnacentral:rRNA from 1 species